ensembl:lncRNA
GCCCUUUUAUUUGCAUCAGCGGAAACUAUCUGCUGUUUAAAUCAUUUGUGACUGGAAGAGUACUGGGAACAUUUCAAACAGCACUGUUCAUUUUACGCUGGUUGGAUAUAAAGAGUUUAAGAUUACAUCAGGCUGAUAGAGCAAAUGUUUUUUCCUGUAUGUCUGAGAGGAUGCAUCAACAAAUUCCAAACCAUAAAGAGAGGAUCAGGGGAGACCAGCAUGGAGCAGACAUCUAUAGUGAAUGGACAUAAAUUAAGUGAACUUUCUAAAAUCGAGUGAACUUUUUACAAGUUUACAGGAGAAAAACAAAUUCUGUUCUGUAUAAACUAAAAUGUUAGGUAUAAGCUAAACUCUUAAACAGGAAUGGAAGACUGUCCAGACCCAGCUACAGAAUGAGAACUUCCAGAUUCGUGGACGUGACACAGAAGCAAAACUUUUAAUUUGGAUGACUCGAUACGUAUGAUGUCACGUUGCUCGUGACCUAAACCUACUUCCGCGCAAAGUGAAAACAAGAAUGGCCUUUGCAACUGACCAAAACGAAAAGGUUUCGGUCCAGUGUCGGGAUAACCCAUAUGGAUUUAAUGGUGUGGUGGUGUAUGGGGAUGAAUCCUACGGCAUGACCUUAGGAUAUAUCCCAGAUAUGACUGGCUACAAUCAAUACCUAACUAGACGUGGAAAUGACUUCAGUGCUGGAGUCGUUAAUGCAGACGAUCUCAAUGAUGCUCAAUCAUCUCCUCAAAUGCUGCCAGUGAAUGUUUCAGUGACCAUAUCUGGUAUGACGGCUCCAAUGAACACUCGCAACCAACUAGGAGCUCGUCACAUGGACCCAUACUUCACUUAUGGCAAUGCAUUAGCACCCGUUUAUGGAUGGGGAGGGAACAGGUAUCAGCUUUGGGACAGAGAUGAGCAACACGAGGAGGAAGAGAGGGAUUCUCGUCUUAAGGGGAAAAAGAAGAAAGCAGAAAGAAGGAGGAGGAAAAGAUCCCGUCAUGCUGGUCAUUAGAAGGGCUAAAGAUCUGACCAGCAUGUAAAUAAAUAAAUAAACCAUUUUAAUUCCAAUGUAUGAAUUUCUCUGUGCUUUCUUUUGUUUGGUUUCCAUAUUCUUAAGUUGCAGAAUUAAGACCAGUUCACAACAAGAACGAUUACUAUAAUGAUAACUAAUUCUAUGAGAAGAGAGAAGAUCCUGCCAAAACUAAUCGGCAGAAGACAUAACUUAAGUUGCUGGUCUUUCAUUAUGCGAACGCUUCCCGUUUCGUUUCAUUUAACUUCCUACCUUAUUGGAGAGAAAUGAAGUAACGUU